CAGUGCUUCCAAACCUGGAAGAUUUUGGAAAGCUAGGUCUUGGUCCUACAACCAGUUGCAUCACUUGGUAAAUUAAUUCCUGAUUCUGCUGGAUGAGAUGGGAGGAAGGAGCCUUAACUACACACAGACUUCAAAGAAGGCCUUUCUGGCAUGCCCACCCCAGAAAUGCAUCCUCAUAGGCAGAUGCUUUGCUUCUUUUGCUGCUGAAUUGUGUCUUCCCAGAGGACAGCAGAGCUGCUUGCACUGGGCAAUGCCACUGGCUGCCGUCACUCUUGGGAUGGGAGAAGUGCAGUGAGAGCAGGACAAACAUUUGCUUUCCAGUGAA